rnacentral:rRNA from 1 species
AUUGAACGCUGGCGGCAUGCUUUACACAUGCAAGUCGAACGGCAGCACGGGCUUCGGCCUGGUGGCGAGAGGCGAACGGGUGAGUAAUAUAUCGGAACGUACCCAAGAGUGGGGGAUAACGUAGCGAAAGUUACGCUAAUACCGCAUACGAUCUAUGGAUGAAAGUGGGGGAUCGCAAGACCUCAUGCUCCUGGAGCGGCCGAUAUCUGAUUAGCUAGUUGGUGAGGUAAAGGCUCACCAAGGCGACGAUCAGUAGCUGGUCUGAGAGGACGACCAGCCACACUGGAACUGAGACACGGUCCAGACUCCUACGGGAGGCAGCAGUGGGGAAUUUUGGACAAUGGGCGCAAGCCUGAUCCAACAAUGCCGCGUGAGUGAAGAAGGCCUUCGGGUUGUAAAGCUCUUUUGUCAGGGAAGAAACGGUGGGAGCUGAUAUCUCCCACUAAUGACGGUACCUGAAGAAUAAGCACCGGCUAACUACGUGCCAUCUCCCGCCGGAAUACGUAGGGUGCCAGCGUUAAUCGUAAUUACUGCUACUAAAGCAUGCAACGGCGGUUUUGUAAGUCUGACGGGAAAUGCCCGUGCUCAACCUGUAAAAUGCAUUGGAGACUGCAAUGCUGGAAUCGCUAUCAGGGGGGUAGUUAUCCCCCCGCUACCAGGAAAGUUAUCUACAUGUUACUCAACCCCUCGCAACUCAGAGUCUAUCGUGUAGCAAGCUACCGCAUAAAACUGUGAGUUCUACUUGCUGUAUUAAGUACACCCCCGGCGUUCCUCCGGAGCCAUGAUCAAACGCUAAGGGCGAAUUCCACAUGGAUACAGGCGGAGUUGGUCCCGUCGAUCUCCAGGGGGGGGCCCUGUACCCAGCUUAUUAUCCCCUUAGUGAGGGUUAAUAAAAACUGAUC